GAAUUAGCGUCCCCAAGUACAGGUCGACCAAGACAAAGGCAAAAUAAACGGGCAGACAAAGGGGCUGUGUGGGAACCGAGCCGCCCAGCUCUGCUCUGCCACACAGCUCCGUGCCCACUGCCACUGCAACGGUGCAGAGGAGCAGCACUGCUUCACUUCUGCCUUUGAAACCACAGCAAGCACGAUGCAAACCAAACCAUGGGUACCGAAGAUGUCCAAAGAGGCAGGCUGACUCUCCUGCCCUCGAAGACAGGUUUGGCUCCACGAGCAGAGCAGAGGGAAUCGUUUUUAACUGGUUUAAACUAUGAUGGACUCAAGUGGAAAACGCAAGGAGAGUUAGCGAGGAGCAUAAUUGACUGGGCAUGGAACUCAGUAACCUCUCAGCACGCUGGAAGUGGUGGAGCAGAGGGGUUACGGCCAGGGCUGCUCCGCACCCACAGCCCUUUCUUCCCAAAGUGAACUCCGCCAGCAGCCAAAGACGGCAAUGACAACAAAAGUGUCAUGCCACAUUAUCAUCUUGCCGGCUCACACACUCCUGCCUGACAAGUUCUCUCUGCCCCUUGUGACAACCAUUCCAGGCUUAUGCUGUUUAUUUUUGGUGUCAGGCUGGCCCUGGCAGAUUGAAAGGCAACCUCAACCCCUUGAACAACAAGCACCACACCCCACUUGGCGAUAAGAGAUGAUUUGAGAAGAUAUUUGCUUACAUGUGUAUAAGCAAUUUGCUGUAUGAUGAAGCCCCGGUGUGCCUGUGUGAACGCACACGUAUGUGUGCAAAGGGGAAGGAACUGCAGAAGCGUAACAUUUCAUGAGAAAACAAACAAUUCAUUGCGGAUCCCAGGUAGCAGGCUUCAAUCAUCACAUCCCAUCGUACACACAGAACGUGAAACGUGGGCCACAAAGGCACCACGGGUACUCCCCACAAAGAGAAACGACAGCUAAGCUCGGUCUGUCCCUGCAAAACAGCCUCGCUGUGUCCCUGCAGAGCGCUGCGAGAUGCAGCGGCAGAGGCACCCCAUAGGAGGAAUGGGGACAAAACACGACAGUUCACUGCAGAAACACGCUAGGGCCAGAUUCAUCUCUGCUGUCAUGGAGUCCAUUUGGAACAGCACUGUUGUCAUUGAAUUACUUGGGACUGCCUGCAAUUGGAAUCACAGAACCUUGUCUUCAAGUAGCAGGCUGCGUGCAUCAUGGAGACUUCCUUUUAACUAUCCAAUUUUUACAGCCUGUACAUAAGCAGGACUAUGUCUACAGCUAGGGUUUCUUGGUGUAAGCACAAUUAAAGCUGAUAGUAAUUACAAAAGUAUGUAUUACAUUUGUUUUUAACGCUAAACUUAAGAAUACGGCAGUAUUUGUUUUAUGUUUACUUGGCUGGUUGAGGUGGUGGUGGUAGAGCAGGGCUUCUCUCCACUCCGAGUCAGGGAUAGCGUCCCACCCUCCCACCUCACCAGGCACAGAACAAGCUGCUCCUGGACCAACUGUUCCAUUGCUACCUGUCAGGAGGAAAGCUGCAGGGAAUCGGACAUGAUGUCCGGGUAGCAGCAGCACGAAGGAGAAAUGAAGGAGCAGGUUGGCAGAUCAACACAGAUUUCAUAUUUACUAUCCAGCCCAGUUAUUGUAGGCUGUGCCUACAGCUGUGCACUUGAUUUAGUUUACAGGCACUGCUUCAGCCCUGGUAAGAGGUGGGAGUGUGCUUCACCGCGGCGUUUACACAGAUCACAACGUAAACAAAACUUGACCCAACACCUUUUAUGUUAUCUCAGAGAAAGAAUCAUAAACUGAGCAAAAUCCACACCAUUAACUCCAGUGCAGUCUUUGAUCAAAUCGGGAGCUAAAAGGAAAACAGAUUUCCUUAAAAACAAACUAACAAAGCAGUAUGUGCAUUUCAUUUUUAAUCCAUUUUCUAGCAACCACACCAUAGAAAGGCAGAGGCUCACAACAGCAAUGCAUCUGAACACAAAAUAUGGCCAUCCCAAGGCACACUAAUGGCAUCCACAGCGCUGGUAAGAGGGAGCACGGAUGUUUUUACAACUGUAGGAUGGGGAAAAUUACUGUUGAUUAUGGAGCAGCAAUGAAAUGCCACAGUUGUGAGUGAUAAACACAGCAAAUGCUACAGGGGGUCCUUCUGGAAAAGGAAAAAAGGGGAACGUUUCGUCAUGCAGAAAAAUAUCCCAGGAAAAAAGGAUGGAGGUGACGCCUGCGUGGCUGUUACCAACCACGGGCUUCAUUCUGCCCCCAGCUGCACACGUGCAACCCAUCACCAGCGAAUGGAGACGGGCUCCCAUUGCAGCAGAACACUGCACAGCCACUUUGCCCUACAGGAAACACCGUAUGCAUGUCAGCCAGCAGAACCUUCUUACUUCUUCUCGUUAGUACUGUGCAUACGCAACCAGAUGCAAAUAUAUACACUUGCAUGCAUUGCUACUGCCACAUAACCCAGCCUGGGAUAUCCCAUUCCCAAACACCUGAGUACCUACACAGCUCUUCAUGGGUGCAAAGCCUCCAGGACUGCAGCAAUGAAACAGCGGAACAGAACUCACAUUGCCUGCGAGGCCCAUCUAUUCAUCUCUGCCCACAAGACUCCCUCGCACCACUGCAUGCUUUUUAUACUUCAUUAAAGCAAAUCACUGAUGUUCUUCAGCUGACAAACAUCCCCGGAAAGGAUGCAAAGAGCGGCAAGAAUUCGGCUUUGGCAAGCAGAUCUAUUUUCAUCUUACAUUUACAGUUGCUUGUGCAUAUCUAUAUAUCCAUCUGCAUCCCUAUCUUCAUAAAAACCUAACUGCAACAAAAUAAAUGAUAAUAAUUCU
rnacentral:lncRNA from 1 species